CUCUCUCUCGUUAUCUCAUUUCCACAUUAGCAUACCAAACGACUCCUAAAGCCUAUUCCUCUCUCCCUUUUCCUCUUUCCCCAAAAAACCCUAGUGUCGCCCCAAUUUUCCUUCUCUCUCCAUGCCAAAAAUGGCAAUAGCGCAGAGACCUCAAGCUUUUUGCAAUCCUUGCACAACUAUUUUCAUACAACAAUUAAUGUUUCAAUAUUGUUUUUGCUCAAAUUCAUCCAAACACGGUAAUGCAUCUUUUACUUUUACUCUUUCUUUUGAUUUUGAGUCAAACUUGCAAUUUUUUGUGUUUUUGUUGUUGUAUCACAUUGUUAUUUUCAUGAUUUCUUAUUGGUCCAUAGUUGUUGGUUCAGACCGAUACAAAAUAAUAUAGAUCUGAUCGUAGACAUUCGUUUCUUUGUAGCAUCUAGCCGUUAAUUUCAUAGACUCACAUUUUUCAUCUAAAAAGUCGUUCUGUACCACAUCGGUGUUUUAAGUCUUUCGAAGAAUUUUGGGGUUCUAUAAAUAGAAUCCCAACCCUCCCUAUUUUACAAGUUCUGAACUCUCAUAACUUGAAUUUUGAGUGAAUAGCUCUGAAGUUUCGAGUUCUUAGUUUAAAUUAUUUUUAAGACUUAACUGUUAAAAGUAGAGGCUCACUAGUCUAAAAUAUUCAUUUACUUGUUCUUUUUUUUUCCUUGUUGGGGAUGAGUCUUGAGAUUGGAAGCACAUGGCUUCAAGAUCCAUUCUUGACAUAGGCUGCACCAACAAAAGGUCCAGCCACGCCCAAUAGGAAAAUUCUUUCAAAGAUUAUCGAGUCUGAGGAAAGAAAUGGAAGCUAAUGUUGUUAAAUACGCAAAGAAGGCCCAACUAUGGAUGAAAAUGGCACACUAGGGGCUUGGUAUGCCCCUAGUCUUCCUUCUCUUGCAUUUUUAUUUUUGCUAGCUUUAAAAUGUAGUUUAAUUGUAUAUUUGUAUUUGUAUAAAGUUAUAAAAACUCACCUAUUACAUUGGAAUCUUUAAUUGUUUGAACUAGCUGUCUUAGGACAAUGGUGCUUAUGUCGUUUAGUUGAUUUUAGGUCCCCAAAAAUUGAUUUUUAGACCUGCUUAGCGUAAAUCAAUUUUCAAGACAAAAAAUGGAAAAAAUUGUUUCUUUAAAUACUGUUUUUUUAGAAUGGAUAAGUGAAAAUAAGUAAAAACCUUUAAACCUUUAAAGCUUUGACAUGUUUCUUUGACAUGUAUGAGUUAAGCAUGAACAAAACAUAUUUACAUUUCUCACUUAAGUAUAAACAAUUCUUCACAUCUUUUAUAACAAAUACUAUCCUUAUACAUAAAAGGAAAUUAUUUAUAUCUGAAUAUUAUAAAUUUGAACCUAAAUACCCUCUAUAUAUAAAAGGAAUAAAUUCAAUUCAUAAAUGAUAUGCAAAAUGACAGACUGUAUACAUGCGGGAAAAUAACACUAAAUAAACAGUUCAUGCAAAUACGAAUACAUUGGAAUUUGAAGGUCAACCGCAUAGUACAGAUCCUUAAUAUUAGGGUGCCUAAUAUCUUUCCUAGGGGAUCACCAGAGCCCUUACCUAUAACAUUGGAUUACGAAGGUUUUUUCACUGUAUAUGAAUAAAUCCUUCGAAACUGAUUUUCCUAAUUUCUUAUUAGAUGGCGACUCUUUUCAAAACAAAGUCUGAAAGAACACCAACAAGUUCGAAGUAGCUUUCCGAGCGCUAACCCUGCCUGCGAAAUGCGAACGGUAACAGGUGGCGACUCUGCUGGGGACCUAAAGGUUCUAACCAUAAGGAUUCCAGUAUAAUAUGAGUUUAUUUAUUUUAACUGUUUAUGUAUUUAUUUUCCCGCAAUUUGGUCGUUUUGGCGUCUUUUCCCCAAAUUAUCCUUUCCAUAGCUUGGAAAUAAUAUUCUUCACUUGCGGGGAUUGGUGGUAUGAUUAUAUAAUUACUUAAUGAGUAUGAAUAGUUUAUUCAUAGGAAUAGUGGUUGCGCCCAUAUAAGGUAUAAGUUGGUAAAUAACGUAUUUGACGGUGUGUAAAAGUUUUAACGUGCACAAAAAAGUUAAGUGAAUUGGGGAAAGCUAUAAUGAUAAGUUAUUAGGCCAGACCCACUUCUCAAGACACAUACAUGUAGUGGUCUAGGGUUCCAAAAUAAAUAUAUUUAAUCUUGGCAUGAAAAAGAAAGGAAGAGGAACACUUUGACAUUACAAUGGAGGCAAACAACUGAAAGGGAAUUUUUCUCGUGCAAGUAAAUCUUAGGGACAUUGGGUAUGGAGUUAUAUUUCUUUGACUAAAUUAUACUUGUUGAUUAUGCAAUCAUUUCACAAUAAUGGUUAUCAAAGCUUAGAUAAUACUAUACCAUCACAAAUCAUCCGGUUGUUAUCACAUGUGAAAGUAUAAAAGAACUUUUAUUAGCUUUGUAUAUUAUCACAAAGAAGUGACGAUUUCACCAGCAAAAGAAAUGGAAAUGAACAAGUUAGAGGCAGCAACAAUUGGAGCCCAUUUGUUAGUUUUCAAACUGAGUAAUAUAAUGAUUAUGGGCUAAUGAUGAGACAAUUAUGAGCUAAUCAUUGAGAAAUAGGAUAGAAUGGAUGAAUAUGUUAUAGGUUAAGGUUAUGCAUAUCUUAAUUCGGGAUUGAAGUUACUGUUUCGGUAACUUAUUUCAGUUUCACUUUUUCUUAUAAUUCUCAAGUCACAAUUUGUUUUCUUUUAAUAUAUAGUGGGUACACGUAAUUGAUUAUUAGGGUAUCGGAUUAUAAGUCCACUUUCGAAUUUCUAGUAUUUGAGAUGUGGGAAGCUAGAUUUUAAUCCUAAGUUAAGAUUUUGGGGUAGAAAGUUUUGACCCCUAGUCUUAAGAAAUGAGAAUUUAUGAUUUGAUAGUCCAUUUGUGGAUGGAAUUGACUAAUUUCUGAAUAUAGGACCCUUAGGUUAUGAGUAAAAUGAUUUUUAAAGAAAAUUUUAGUUUUUCCCUUGUGGGCUCAUGGUCACCUUUCGGGGUGAGUUUUUGGGUUUCGAAUAUAAGUAUAGCAAUAUGAGUGUUCUUAGAUUUAUAUUCUAACGUAGAUUAUAUAUUUGAUAUACUUUGUCUAUUCGGAAGCACUCCAGAAGGGAAAAGCUUUGGCAUGAGAGUUUAUGGCUCCUAUUCGGCAUUGAGGUAGGUUACGGUUUACUUUAUGUCUAGACUUCGGUUAGCGAAACGUAUGUAGAUAGUAGUGAUUGACAGGAAAGGAUGAUAGGCCUUGGGUCAUGGUGUGAAGGUGAAUUCUAUCUAGGUUGGUAUUGUGAGCUGUUAUGUGGGCUUGUCGCCAUUAUUGUGAUACUGUUAUAUAGGCUUGUCGCCAUUGUUGUGAUAUUGUUAUGUGGGCUUGUCGCAAUGGUUGUGAUUUCAUGCACUUGACAUAAUUUUCUAUCUCUCUCUUGUUAUCUCACUUGUCAUAUGGAAGAGGAAGGUUAUUAUUGAAAAUUGAAUAUUGAAUCACAUUUCAUAGUAUGAAUUGGUGGAACCUGUGAUUGCGGAGAUUAUUGAGGUUUAUUUCAUGUGAGGCAUGCAUCCCAUAUUCCAUGUGUUAUUUGAUAUGAUUAUCACAUAGUUCUAUCUAUGUCACAUACUAGCUCACUCAUCUCUUGAAAGGGAAGGGUAAUAUUGAUGAUUGAACAGUGGACAAUAAUAUGACUUGUACUUGUUGAUUGCAUAUUGGUGAUAUUGUUGAGACUGAUAUCAUGCAUGACAUGCUUCCAUAUUACUCUUAUAUUGUCCUGAUGGUGAGGUGAGUGAUUGAGAGGCUCUGAGGUCUUUGCCGGAGAUUGAAAGUGAUUGAGAGGCUUCGAGGUCUUUGUCGGAGAUUGAGAGUGACUGAGAGACUCCGGGGUCUUUGCUGGAGAUUGAGAGAAAUUGAUAGCCUCCAAGGUUUUUUCCGGAGAGCACGAGUGGUACAUGGACUUCACGAGUCCCCCAUGGGUCAUAGCUAUGAGGCAUUUCCAUAGCAUUUGUGUACGAGAGUGGAGAAUGAGAGGUGACUACUACAUUGCAUAGCAUUUGCAUAGCACGGCAUUGCAUUGCACUCCAUUUGAAUUGUUAUUCAUGUCAUUGUAUGGCACAUUCUCUGAUUGAUUCUUGAAUUGUGAAUUAUUGAGUUGUUGUUGUUUGUAAGUAUUUAUUUUAGAGGCUUGAUGGGCUCAAGGUUUAGAGAUUUCAACCUAGGCUUAUAACUUGGGAUAUUGAAAUCCCUUGUGACUAUUGUUACUGCAAGACUUCCAUAUUUGCUAGAGUUGUGAUUGUGUUUGAUAACUUGUCCGCUUACUUGUUAGUUGCUUCUUGUUUAUAUGCGUGAACUAACCAUUGUCGGCCUACGAUACCUACGAGCCUUGUGUUGUGCUCAUACUACUCUUGCUACACUGUUUAUGGAGUGUAGAGUUGUUUUCAAGUGAUAUUAGAAGUCUCUCGAUAGUUUCGAGACAUUCGUCAGAGGCAUUUGGGUGAGCUAUUUGAGAUCUUGCAACCUAGAGUCUCUUCUUAGAUUUUUGUUGUUCCUUAUCCUUAAACAGAAGUCGUAUCUAGUUUGAGUCUGUUAUUUACUUCAAAUUGUAAACUUCUUAGAAGCUCUUAUACAGGUCUAGACCAGGUUUUGGGAAUUUCUUAUUAAAAGUAUUUCUUCCGCAUUGGUUUCAA